rnacentral:rRNA from 1 species
UACGGAGGGUGCAAGCGUUGUCCGGAAUCACUGGGCGUAAAGGGCGCGUAGGCGGCUCAUGAAGGCUGUGGUGAAAGUCCGGGGCUCAACCUCGGAUCGGCCGUGGCGACUCGUGGGCUGGAGCACUGUAGAGGCGGGUGGAAUUCCGGGUGUAGCGGUGGAAUGCGUAGAGAUCCGGAAGAACACCAGUGGCGAAGGCGGCGUCCUGGCUCACAACUGACGCUCAGACACGACAGCAUGGGGAGCGAACGGG